CGAUCCGAAUUCUGCUUGUUCGAGCAAAACUGAGAUCCCUGUUGGAAACAUUAACGGGGUUAUAGCCGACGAUGUCAACAGAAAACCAAGAUGCUAAACUAUAGGUGUUUCGUUCUUGACACUUUCAUGACAAUACGUGAGACGAGUUGCGAGACGUAGCUUUCUGCAUUGUUUACUUUUUGUUUGGUUGUGUCGUUAUGGUUUCAUAUCAACUCGCUGAGGAAAACAACUGAAGAAAGAAAUAAGCAAAUAUAUAUUCGUGAAAAAUAGUGUACUAGAGCUGCAAUAAGAUGCCGUAUUAUUGUGCAGUAAAAGGAUGCGGAAACAAGGUCCGCAUAACGAAAAACAACCCGGACAUUGUUUACCACACUUUCCCCCGAGAUGGAGAUAGACUUCAUAAAUGGAUACUUUUCUGUGGCCAAUUACUUUCAACAACUUUUUCCGGAUCUUCUGGCGUGAUCGAUAGUCGUGAUUCCAACAGUUUAUUUCACCUGUAAUAUAUUAGCAACACAAAAGUCCACUAAUUUGAAAAAUAAACACGAACCUGUUGCAAUCAUU